UACGUAGGGUGCAAGCGUUAUCCGGAAUUAUUGGGCGUAAAGAGCUCGUAGGUGGUUUGCCACGUCUGCUGUGAAAACUGGAGGCUCAACCUCCAGCCUGCAGUGGGUACGGGCAGACUAGAGUGCGGUAGGGGAGAUUGGAAUUCCUGGUGUAGCGGUGGAAUGCGCAGAUAUCAGGAGGAACACCGAUGGCGAAGGCAGAUCUCUGGGCCGUAACUGACGCUGAGGAGCGAAAGCAUGGGGAGCGAACAGG
rnacentral:rRNA from 1 species